GAGGCAGGUUUGGGUUCAACCUGACAGCUGGUCUGUCCAAUGAAGGAACCUCGGUGGCUGCGAGGAAAAGGCUGCAUCCCACCCCGAUGAAAUUACCCAAUCAAAGUAUUCUGUGAGAUAGCACAGUGCUGCCAAUCACGAAAGGAUUCUGUUGGCCAAUUUCAGUGUAGCAGCACUGACUCUUGACUAGAUUCCAAGACGUGAAGGACCUGUUAAAAGAAAACAACUACUGCUGAAGAUGAAAACCCAAG